GCAUGGCCCAUGGCCCAUCCUGGUGGAUUUGGGGACCUAGAUGCCUGAGGAGGGAGAGACAAAGGAGUGGGAAGUGAGCGUUCUGGAGGGAAACAGGGUGGAGAAACAGACAAAGGCUGGCAAAAACAGACCACGGAAAGGCAAGGCAGCAAGGAUAAGGGGGAGCUGGCAGGAUGUGGAAGAUGGGAGCCAGAGAAGGUGUGGCUGUCAGGAGCAGAGAGGAGAUUACAGGGUGAGCCUCUGCCACAGUACAGGAGAGACAGGAGCAGGAGGGGAGGGUGUGUGUGUCACACUGGGGUGUUGAUUGGAAACUCCACUGGGAAGUAAGACACCACACUUGCAAUGUGGAGACCGUGCUCCCACCCUGCACUGCCAUUGCUAAUUGGGUGUGACCGGGACUUCAGCUUACAAGCGGUGUGGUGCACGCAGAAGGCCCUGGUUCUGGUGGAUCACACCACAUGGGUGUGGGCUGCCAUCUUCCCAGACCAGGAUGUUGGUAGCAAUGUGUUGUGAGCCUGGCAGGGGCCUGGGCGAAGUCCAGUUCUUUCUUUAUGGGAAACUGAGGUUCCCAAUACUUGGGGGAUGGUGGUGAAGUUGUUGAGGGUGAAGGGUGCCAAGCAGUGGCCACUGUGAUUGUUCACAUGGGAAGCAGACAGAUGAGACUGAGCUCCAGGUCAGGUCCACACUCCACUGACGGCUGACCAGGGCUGACCCCAGAGCUGUCCAUCUUUCUCUCCAUUCAUGGGCCUCCAUGCGAUUCAGGCGUGGUGGGGAGAGCCCCCGUCAUGACCUGCAUGCUCUCCUUAGCUUUAGGGUGGCAUGGCUGCCUUCCUUACCUUGCCCAGGUAUGGACAAGGUAUGCCCUUACAGUGCCCAAGUCCGCACAGUGCCCAGGGCCAUGUGGUGAGAAGGUGGCGCCCAGCUUUGAGCAAAGGUCAGGCCAGGCCCAAAGCCCUUUGGCUUUUUGGUGUUACCCACGUGCUACUGGUUGGUUACAGGGUAGUCUUGUUUCCAAACACCAUCAAAUUGAUUUCUACCAGGAACUUUAUAGAUAACCAUUUUAACUGCCAUUAAUGGGGCACCUCAGUGGCCAGGCCCAGCCUCAGCCAAUCUGCCAGCACGCCAAUGACUUGGGCAGCUCUAUUUCCAGCAGACGAGGUCACUGGACAGAGAGUAGCUGGAACUAGCCAGAGAUCACAGAGUGUCAGAUCUGCAGCUCACCCCAGGUUGGGGACGGAGGCCCCCCCCCCCCCCCCCGGGCACCGGGGAGGCUUUGGCAGGUUGAGUGUUGGAUGAAGCUCCCUGUGGCAUGGUCUUGAGUUAUGUGAAGUGCCUGGAACGUAGUAGGUGCUCACUCACCUGAGUUUUCACAGUGCAGGGUCUGUCCUUCACCUGAGGAAGGGAGGGAUGAGCUUGAGGGUGCGGCCCUAGGAAGGCUGGCCUUCUGGAGAGAGGCAGCAAGGGGUGGGGGAGGCUGCUCGGAUGGCCAGGCGUGCCCAGCACGGGCGUGUGCAGAACUCCAGGCAGCCACUCUGCUUCCUGUGAGGAGGGAAGUUACGGAUUUCCGCCCUGGCGCCCAGAAAAGGAUGAGCCUGGCGUUUGGGGUGUGGUCCCACGUGGGGAGGGCCACAAGAGCCCUCUGGAGUAGCUCUGCCCAUGUCAUGGCGUAGAGCCAUGCCUGCUGCUGCCAGCCCCAGACGGAAGCCCCAGCCCCACUUACUUGCAGAGGGCAUGACAGGUGUGUCCCUUCAUCUGAAUGAAGUGCGCUGGGCCCCCUUUAUGCUUGAGGGAGGAAUGGCAGAGUCUCAGAACUACUGGCCACUGCUGUCUAGAGGCCCGGGGAGCCUUGAGAGCUGUCAAUUUCAAUUUCUCUGGGAAGCUGCCCCUGGGGCACAGCCCUCACCCCUCCUGAGCCCCUUUGACUGGGCUUCCCCAGGGAGAAAGGAAGCUGUUAACAUUCAGCCUCCUCUUCUCUCAGGUACCUAAAGGAGUAGGGGCUGUUCUAGGGUGUGGAGAGAUGAGCCUGUAACCAGGGGUGGCGCCUUAAAGUCUUGUAAGUCCAUGGUAAUCAGCUCAGUUGCCUCAGUUUUGUUGUGUGUAGAAUGGGGAUACAAAUAGUUCUACCCCAGCCUUAAUGUGUCCAUUAGCACAUCUAAUAGGAGCUACAGGGCCUGCUUCCAGUAAGUAAGUGCUGUGGAUGGGCCAAUACUUGAAUUGCUAUUUGUUGUGUCUGCUGGAUGCUGUGUGUGCAACUGUGAGCAGAAGGAACAACUCCUCUGCUCUCUGGCACUACUGGUUAGGAGGAGUCAGUGAGGCCUAGGCUGGGUGUGCUGGGCUGGUGGUACCUGCUGGAUGGGGU